AAUGUCUGAGCCAGUAAGAGAAUGGAAACUAAGCAAGACAACAAGAUUAGGGUGGCCAAGGCUAAAAGCUGUGUUGGUGAACCGUUCCCCCAUCUGAACUGGCUGACACAGAGGGCACAGCGUGAUGAUAGAUGAGAGGUAUGUUUUGAUGUGAGGGAGGAAGCCAGUCCCGUCAUCGCCACCUCACCCGCUCUUAAGAUAACCUUUGGGCCAAUUUAAACUGGAGAUAUUGUAAUUGUGAUGAAUAUUAGAAUAUUAGGGUAGCACUGUAAUUCGUUAAUCAUAUGCUGUCUGCCUCUGUUCUUACCUCUUUCCCUUUCUGUCUUCUACAUCUCUCUCCCCACCUCAUCUUUCUUCCUCGUUUUAUAAUGCACACUAUAUGUGCAUUGAAGCACAGAUUGAACUUGUAUUUAUAAUAUAAUAUUGCAAUUAUCAUAAUUAUAAUGCAUGUAUUAUGUAUUUAUAACCCAUGGAUAAUGAACUUCUUUCAAUAAAGUGUUUCACUUUC